AUAAAAUAUUCUCUUGAAUAUGUUACUGUUUCCAAAUGUCCAGCAAAUAAUGUAUCAUUAUAUUUGGAGCUAAAUAGCCGUUACAUUACCCGUACCUGUAGCACGAUAUAGAAAUCCAGGUUAUGGGGAAUGAUGCCAGAUGCGCGUGGUCUUCUUCUGCCUACUCAUAGUGUGGCGUCCCACGUGAUUGGGAGCUGCUGCGCUGCUCGUUCUCCGAUUUGUGUAUAGAUACCAAAUGUUUAGAUCACGCUCAUAGGCAUUU